AAGUUUCUGUAUAGGUUUGAGUGAACGAUCUUUCUUCUUUCACUAAAGAGUACAUGAUCCGAAGUGUCUGGGGUAUUAUAUAUGCAUCUAUAUCGACCAUUCAGAAAAUUAUGGACCAUCGAACAUUGCCAACAGCAUUCUGACUCUGCUAAUGCUUAUGUCAUGCGGUACAUUUGGCCAAUCACCCACUACUUUCUACCCUGAUUUCAUUGACUAGCUGAUGUAUUGGAUGGACUGAUAGCUUUUGUCUUUGUUUAGGGGUGCACAACAAAAAGUCAGCUUCUUGGCUCUAGGAUGCUGGAAGUUCUAUUGAAUAAAGGUCUAAUGAUGGCGGCA
rnacentral:lncRNA from 1 species